rnacentral:tRNA from 1 species
AAGAGGUUUAAAUAAAACUGCUAAUUUUUUCAACCAGGACUAACCCUCCUGGACCUCUUA